rnacentral:rRNA from 1 species
CAGCCGCCGCGGGAAUACGUAGGUGGCAAGCGUUGUCCGGAAUUAUUGGGCGUAAAGGGCUCGCAGGCGGUUUCUUAAGUCUGAUGUGAAAGCCCCCGACUCAACCGGGGAGGGUCAUUGGAAACUGGGAAACUUGAGUGCAGAAGAGGAGAGUGGAAUUCCACGUGUAGCGGUGAAAUGCGUAGAGAUGUGGAGGAACACCAGUGGCGAAGGCGACUCUCUGGUCUGUAACUGACGCUGAGGCUCGAAAGCCAGGGGAGCGAACGGGAUUAGAUACCCCUGUAGUCCCUGUCUCUUAUAC